rnacentral:rRNA from 1 species
UCACAAGUACCGCCGCGCCCUGGGCCGUCACAAGGAAAACUAUAUCCAAAAUCCUUUUUAUCCGGCAUUAAUUUGGAACCGCGUGCAUCUAAAGCGCCCUUUACUAAAAUCAAUGUAGUUGUAUGCAAACCUAGAGCAAUAGCAUGAUGAACCAAGAAAUCCCCAGGUCCUAUUGUUAAGAAAAGCGAAUUACUAUUCUCAUUAACAGCAUUCAACCAUCCGGGCAACCAUAGGCUUCGACCCGCAUUGAAAGCGGGGCCAUUCGUUGAAGAUAAGAGUAUAUCGAACCCAUAUGUCGUCUUGCCAUGAGCAGAUUGUAUCCAUUGGGCAAAUAUAGGUUCGAUCAAGAUUUGCUUUUCUGGAGUACCAAAAGCAAGCAUGACGUCGUUAUGAACGUAAAGGCCCAAGGUAUGGAAUCCUAGAAAGAGGCUAGCCCAACUUAAAUGAGAUAUGAUAGCUUCUUUAUGGUCUAACAUUCUUGCCAAUACAUUAUCCUCAUUCUGUUCCGGAUUGUAAUCCCUAAUGAAAAAAAUAGCUCCAUGAGCAAAAGCCCCUGUCAUGAUGAACCCUGCAAUAUAUUGGUGAUGAGUAUAUAAAGCAGCUUGAGUAGUAAAGUCUUGUGCUAUGAAUGCAUAAGGAGGUAAAGAGUACAUAUGUUGAGCUACUAAGGAAGUAAUAACCCCUAAAGAAGCUAGAGCAAGACCUAACUGAAAAUGAAUCGAAUUGUUGAUUGUGUCAUAAAGGCCCUUAUGCCCACGCCCUAAUCGACCCCCGGGGGAGUAUGCGCUUCUAAAAGAUCUUUAAUACUGUGCCCAAUUCCGAAGUUAGUUCGAUACAUGUGACCGGCAAUGAGAAAAAUAAAUGCAAUAGCUAAAUGAUGGUGAGCCAUAUCGGUCAGCCACAAACUUUGUGUUUGUGGAUGGAAUCCCCCAAGAAG